rnacentral:rRNA from 1 species
CCGAGUUUACAACUCCCAAACCCCUGUGAACAUACCUAUAAUUUUGCCUCGGCAGACUCAACGACGGUGCUCCGAGAAAUCGGGCGCCGCUCGCUGCCAGAGGAACCCCAAACUCUAUGUAUUCUUGUGGAUCUUCUGAGUAAAACAAAACAAAUAAAUCAAAACUUUCAACAACGGAUCUCUUGGUUCUGGCAUCGAUGAAGAACGCAGCGAAAUGCGAUAAGUAAUGUGAAUUGCAGAAUUCAGUGAAUCAUCGAAUCUUUGAACGCACAUUGCGCCCGCCAGUAUUCUGGCGGGCAUGCCUGUUCGAGCGUCAUUUCAACCCUCAAGCCCCCGGGCUUGGUGUUGGGGAUCGGCGAUAGUCGCCGUCCCCCAAAUCUAGUGGCGGUCUCGCUGUAGCCUCCAUUGCGUAGUAGCUAACACCUCGCAACUGGAACGCGGCGCGGCCAAGCCGUUAAACCCCCAACUUCUGAAUGUUGACCUCGGAUCAGGUAGGAAUACCCGCUG